CUUUAACAUGCAUCUAAAUCUAAGUACACUCAAACCUAUUUUUCGGGGACUUUAGGCGAAUGUGCCUCUAAAAACAGGAGUUAGCAGAAGUCCCACUGAAAUGUUCACUUGCGCUUGUGUGUGCGCAAGUGCCUGUUUAAGCUGUUUUUCCAUGCAAACGUCUGAGGGGGACACUUAUGCGACUGGUCGCCUAUGUGCGUGUUCAGGUGAUCUCUCAAUGUGGACCUUCGAGGGAAGCUCUGGGAACACAGGUGGCACUUGUGUGGCCGCUCACGUCUGUGGGCACGCAGGUGACGUAUCAAAUUGGAUCUCUCUGAAAAGCGCUGAGGACAGAGGUGACAAUGAAAUGGCCGCUC
rnacentral:lncRNA from 1 species